rnacentral:rRNA from 1 species
UUUGAUCCUGGCUCAGGAUGAACGCUAGCGGCAGGCUUAACACAUGCAAGUCGAGGGGUAACAGGGAGCUUGCUCUGCUGACGACCGGCGCACGGGUGCGUAACGCGUAUGCAACCUACCUUCUACAGGGGGAUAGUCAAUAGAAAUGUUGAAUAAUACCCCAUACGAUCUUUGAGUGGCAUUACUUAAAGAGGAAAGCUUCGGCGGUAGAAGAUGGGCAUGCGUCCUAUUAGUUAGUUGGUGAGGUAACGGCUCACCAAGACUACGAUAGGUAGGGGCCCUGAGAGGGGGAUCCCCCACACUGGUACUGAGACACGGACCAGACUCCUACGGGAGGCAGCAGUGAGGAAUAUUGGACAAUGGAGGCAACUCUGAUCCAGCCAUGCCGCGUGCAGGAAGACUGCCCUAUGGGUUGUAAACUGCUUUUAUACAGGAAGAAACCUACUUACGUGUAAGUAGCUGACGGUACUGUAAGAAUAAGGAUCGGCUAACUCCGUGCCAGCAGCCGCGGUAAUA